CUAACACUGGCUCCGUUUCCGAGGAGGAGGGCAGUGGGUCUGCUAACACUUGCUCCUGAAAAUCGCAUUUUCCCUCAUCUUCCCUCCAAUUUGCGGAGGCCCCCUUGGAGUCCCCUUGCGGCCCCCUACGGGGCCGCGGCCCCCACCUUGAAAACCACUGGACUGGUUUCCCCAGCCAUGAUAACUGCACAGGAGGGAAGAUCUGAGAUGAAUGACGAACUGCGCAGGCGAGCGCCACAGAUUUGCACCAUUCUGAAAUGCACCCAAGUCUGCAGAGCCGC